rnacentral:rRNA from 1 species
CACGUAGUUAGCCGGAGCUUAUUCCUCAGGUACCGUCAAAUUCCUCUUUCUUCCCUGAUAAAAGAACUUUACAUUACGAAUAACUUCUUCGUUCACGCGGCGCUGCUCGGUCAGGGUUCCCCCCAUUGCCGAAAAUUCCCUACUGCUGCCUCCCGUAGGAGUAUGGACCGUUCUCAGUUCCAUUGUGGCCGUUCAACCUCUCAGUCCGGCUACGCAUCAUCGCCUUGGUAGGCCCUUACCCCACCAACUAGCUAAUGCGCCACAGGCCCCUCCUUAAGCAGAUCUCUCUUUUAAAUAUAAAAGAUUCUUCCUCUAUAUCCUAUCCAGUUUUAUCCAUCGUUUCCAAUGGCUAUCCUCGUCUUAAGGGUAGGUUACCUAUGUAUUACUCACCCGUUCGCCACUAAAGUACCCGAGGUACUUCCGUUCGACUUGCAUGUAUUAGGCACGCCGCCAGCGUUAAUCCUGAGCCAGGAUCAAACUCU